rnacentral:rRNA from 1 species
GACGGAGGGUGCAAGCGUUGUUCGGAUUGACUGGGCGUAAAGGGCGUGUAGGCGGUUGGUCAAGUCUGGUGUGAAAGCCCGGGGCUUAACCCCGGAAGUGCGCUGGAAACUAGCCAGCUAGAGCGCGAGAGAGGAGGGUGGAAGUUCCUGGUGUAGCGGUGAAAUGACGUAGAUAUCAGGAGGAACACCGGUGGUGUAGACGGCUUUCUGGACCGUAACUGACGCUGAGACACGAAAGCGUGGGUAGCAAACAGG